GUGGGGAAUAUUGGUCAAUGGGGGAAACCCUGAACCAGCAACGCCGCGUGAAGGAAGAAGGCUUUCGGGUUGUAAACUUCUUUGACAGGGGACGAAACAAAUGACGGUACCCUGAAAACAAGCCACGGCUAACUACGUGCCAGCAGCCGCGGUAAUACGUAGGUGGCAAGCGUUGUCCGGCUUUACUGGGUGUAAAGGGCGUGUAGGCGGGACGGUAAGUCAGAUGUGAAAUGUAGGGGCUCAACCCCUGAACUGCAUUUGAAACUAUCGUUCUUGAGUGAUGGAGAGGCAGGCGGAAUUCCGUGUGUAGCGGUGAAAUGCUUAGAUAUGUCACAGAACGCCAAUCGUGAAGACAGGUUACAAACUUAAUACUGACGCUCAUGCACGAAAGCGUGGGGAUCAAACAGGAUUAGAAACCCGUGUAGUCC
rnacentral:rRNA from 1 species